UACGUAGGGUGCAAGCGUUGUCCGGAAUUAUUGGGCGUAAAGAGCUCGUAGGCGGUUUGUCGCGUCUGCUGUGAAAACUCAGGGCUUAACUCUGAGCUUGCAGUGGGUACGGGCAGACUAGAGUGCGGUAGGGGAGACUGGAAUUCCUGGUGUAGCGGUGAAAUGCGCAGAUAUCAGGAGGAACACCGGUGGCGAAGGCGGGUCUCUGGGCCGAUACUGACGCUGAGGAGCGAAAGCGUGGUGAGCAAACAGG
rnacentral:rRNA from 1 species